GAUGAACGCUGGCGGCGUGCCUAAUACAUGCAAGUCGAGCGAACAGACGAGGAGCUUGCUCCUUUGACGUUAGCGGCGGACGGGUGAGUAACACGUGGGUAACCUGCCUAUAAGACUGGGAUAACUUCGGGAAACCGGAGCUAAUACCGGAUAAUAUUUCGAACCGCAUGGUUCGAUAGUGAAAGAUGGCUUUGCUAUCACUUAUAGAUGGACCUGCGCCGUAUUAGCUAGUUGGUAAGGUAACGGCUUACCAAGGCAACGAUACGUAGCCGACCUGAGAGGGUGAUCGGCCACACUGGAACUGAGACACGGUCCAGACUCCUACGGGAGGCAGCAGUAGGGAAUCUUCCGCAAUGGGCGAAAGCCUGACGGAGCAACGCCGCGUGAGUGAUGAAGGUCUUCGGAUCGUAAAACUCUGUUAUUAGGGAAGAACAAACGUGUAAGUAACUGUGCACGUCUUGACGGUACCUAAUCAGAAAGCCACGGCUAACUACGU
rnacentral:rRNA from 1 species